AUUAAGUUAAGGAUUAAUCAAAUUUUUGUGUCGGUUGACAAAGGAAGGAAAGCUACAUCAACGGAGAUCCAUGGGGCAACCUUAACUCUUUACCAUCCGUGGAUCUCACGAAAUAAUGCUCUGCAUGCAAGUAAAUCAGCUGAUCUUCACGAAUCCGUCAAAAUCAUCAAGAGGUCUUUUAUGGAUCACAGCAGGAGUGGAAGUAGCGAGAAACAAAAUGGAGGUUCCUAACAGAUACAUCUACUGCAACUUUCGGCUGAUCAAGUUUCCACUGGAUCAGAUUGGAGCAUCAUUAGCACGGACGCAGCAUGGAACAGUAACGGAGUUUGCCUCUCAGGAAUCUUCCAACGACCGUAUUGCCCACCGUUUCAAUCAUGGAUCCAGAUCUCCUCGGAGGAAAAGCCACUCCAAGCAGAAGCUCGAGCCGCCCUCCUAGCCCUUUCAAUUGAUGCGAAAAAAUGAUUGUCGAAGAUAUGGCUGAGAAGCGACGCCUUAAUUUUGGUAGAUGCCAUCUUGCACCCACAUAACUCGCCGUGGGAAAUUAGGACCUUAGUUGCGGAUAUUAUUUCUAGUCUUAAUCUUUUUUCGGAUUGGUUGUGCUCCUGGAUUCCUAGGGAAAAAAAUAUCCUUGCCCACGACUUGUGCCAAUUCGGCUCUAAGUUAAAUUUUAUUCUCUUUGUAUUUUUUAAGGGUAUUCUACGCUCAAUCCAGUAGAUAUUAUAUC